UUUUCAAUCCAUCUAUUCCUGAAGAAUUAAUCAUCUUUUUUAAUGUCAAUUGUGAUAAAGUUGUUCUUUCUGUAUAUGUCUUGAACUCACUUACUAGUGCUCCAAGUCAAAAAGUUCUAAUUCAAGAUCAAUCAACCAUUGGUCAUCAGUUUGAAACUCACAAUAAAUGGUAUGAAGUCAUUAACAAAGCUGAGGUUAUUUGCUCAGUACCAUGGUUAAAAGACCUUAUAGUUUGGAUCAACACUGCUCUUCAGUUGUGCCAACAACUAAAAGACAAAAUUGCCAUUUUCCAUACAUUGUUGCCAGACUUGGUCUUGAAAGAAGAUUCGGACUGAAAAAAUAGUAUAAAAUAUAUAGCACUC
rnacentral:lncRNA from 1 species